rnacentral:rRNA from 1 species
UACGUAGGGUGCAAGCGUUGUCCGGAAUUAUUGGGCGUAAAGAGCUUGUAGGCGGUUUGUCGCGUCUGCUGUGAAAUUUCGGGGCUCAACCCCGAACUUGCAGUGGGUACGGGCAGACUAGAGUGUGGUAGGGGAGACUGGAAUUCCUGGUGUAGCGGUGAAAUGCGCAGAUAUUGGGAGGAACACCAGUGGCGAAGGCGGCUCACUGGGCCGGAACUGACGCUGAGGCGCGAAAGCGUGGGGAGCAAACAGG